AAAACUGGUAGAGGAUGCGACUUUCAAAAGUAUGUGCGGAUGAGGCUCAGCCAGAGCCGACAGAAUGCGCGCAGAAAGGGGAAGCCGCCGAAGCUGAACGGGUGGCGCCCGCGAUGCUGGGGGUACGUUUAAGAAAUGUACAACUGUCAUCAUGCAAUGUGAUGGAGGGCUAUCGACGAA
rfam:Clostridium methylpentosum DSM 5476 Scfld6 genomic scaffold, whole genome shotgun sequence.